rnacentral:lncRNA from 1 species
UCUUUUCGGCGUUAUGUGUGCUUUGCUUGUUUGACUAUAGCUGCCCAUGUUUUUCUUUCCUUUGCUUGUUUUUCCCAUUCUUGUAUUCCUAGGUCUUUCAAAUCCUGAUUGAUACCAUCAAUCCAUCUCUUUCUAGGCCUACCUCUCGGUCUUUUCCAAUUUAGUUCUUUUCUAAGUACUUUUUUUGUAUUUCUCUUAUCAUCCAUCCUUUCUACGUGUCCUAACCAACUCAGUCGUUUACUUCGUAUUUCUUUUGUGAUAGUAGGUCUGUUAAACACUCUGUUUAUUUCGUGGUUCAUUCUUAUACGCCAUUCUCCAUUCUCCUGUAUAGGUCCAUAUAUUUUCCUUAAGAUUUUUC